GGGCCCGUAGCUCAGCAUGGACAGAGCGGUAGCCUCCUAAGCUAAAGGUCCGGGGUUCAAAUCCCCGCGGGCCCGCCA
rnacentral:tRNA from 1 species